rnacentral:rRNA from 1 species
UACGUAGGGGGCAAGCGUUGUCCGGAAUUAUUGGGCGUAAAGAGCGCGUAGGCGGUCCGAUAAGUCGGCUGUGAAAGUCAGGGGCUCAACCCUUGAAAGCCGGUGGAUACUGCAGGACUAGAGUACGGAAGAGGCGAGUGGAAUUCCUGGUGUAGCGGUGGAAUGCGCAGAUAUCAGGAGGAACACCAAUAGCGAAGGCAGCUCGCUGGGACGUUACUGACACUGAGGCGCGAAAGCGUGGGGAGCGAACAGG